GACGAACGCUGGCGGCGUGCCUAAUACAUGCAAGUAGAACGCUGAAGGCGGAGCUUGCUUCUCUGGAUGAGUUGCGAACGGGUGAGUAACGCGUAGGUAACCUGCCUGGUAGUGGGGGAUAACUAUUGGAAACGAUAGCUAAUCCCGCAUAAUAGCAGUUGCUGCAUGAUAACUGUUUGAAAGGUGCAAUUGCACCGCUACCAGAUGGACCUGCGUUGUAUUAGCUAGUUGGUGGGGUAACGGCUCACCAAGCCGACGAUACAUAGCCGACCUGAGAGGGUGAUCGGCCACACUGGGACGGAGACACGGCCCAGACUCCUACGGGAGGCAGCAGUAGGGAAUCUUCGGCAAUGGACGGAAGUCUGACCGAGCAACGCCGCGUGAGUGAAGAAGGUUUUCGGAUCGUAAAGCUCUGUUGUAAGAGAAGAACGAGUGUGAGAGUGGAAAGUUCACACUGUGACGGUAUCUUACCAGAAAGGGACGGCUAACUACGUG
rnacentral:rRNA from 1 species